AUAACAGUUUUUUGACAUAUUACAUUUUCAGUUAAAGAAAUUAAUCUUUGUGUAAAUUACUUAUUUAUGCAAACUUUUUUUUUCUUCUAGGGCAUCUUUAGUCCAGUCGUAUGAAUAUGUUUUUACACACCAAGACAAUCAGUGGCUCAACUCAAAGAAAGGUGGUAACCAGAGCAGAAAAGCUACAGAAACUUACACCUUCAAUUUCUGGUGCAUGAAUCCUGGGGUUGCAUUUUCUGAUUUCUCAGAAACUCGUAGCAUAAUUCUAACCAGUGGGACACUGUCACCUCUGACCUCUUUCCAAUCUGAGCUUGGGCUCAACUUUAGCAUCCAGCUAGAGGCCAACCAUGUUAUUAAAGAUUC
rnacentral:sRNA from 1 species